CACUGUUUCCUUUUCAGGGAUGUAAAGUGUGGUAGGUUAUACUGCAGUCGUGGAAACGAAUCGGAUUGCAGAAUGAAAUAUUUUCCAUCAAAGGAAGAUGAUGGAUUGGUUACACCUGGAACAAAAUGUGGAGAUGGAAGGGUCUGCAGCAACGGGUAUUGUGUUGAUGUGCGGACAGCCUACUGAUCAACCACUGGAUUCUCCAUAAUUUGAUUUUGGAAAUCUUCCUUCCAGAAGGCUUCCUUCAAGUCCAAGGAGACACACCUGUCUUUAUCCUACUAGUAAAUCAUUCUUAACUUCCAGAUGGCAUCUAAAUAUUUUGCAAUAUUUCUUCUCCAUAUUUAAUCUGAUUAUCUUUUGCUAUAAUCAAACCUUUUCUCUCCCACAAAGCUCCAUGGUCACAUACAACGCCGCAGGCUUAUUUGCUGUGAAGAAAAAAAAUGGCCAUUUUACCACUUGCCAAUUGCAAUGCAUAUUUAAUGCAACAAGUUCUGCUUUUGAGCUGGUGUAUUGAAAGGCAAUGCUUCCUCUCCCAAAAUUUUAUGCUAGCUUUCCAAGAUGUAGCUGCUUUCAUCAAUAAACACUUCUCAUUCUGCA